GGAUGGCAGCCUGUAGUCCCUGGACGCAGACCCUGUAGUCACAGCUCUCUUUUGUUUCCAGGCCUGCUGGGUCUGGUAGCUGUAUAGAAGAGGCAAGUGGGUUCAUGUGACCAGAAAAGCAAGAUAUAUCUGAAGAACCAACAGUCCUAGGCAGGGGUGAAAACCCAGAAUCAAGUUGCUUGCCGUAAUGACUACCAUAAUAAAGCUUGCUGAUUGGACACGGGCUGUUCCGUCCUCUAUUGUGAACUAUUUCUUAAGCAAUCACUCUAACCUGUUAAACAACGUAUCAUCACAGAAUGAGCAUCUGUAGUCAGAUGGAAAUCUGUUCAUGAGAUUUGCACUGUGGAAUUUAACUCAUCCUUUCCUGGACAACCUUUACUCCAGACUUGAAAUUUAUUGAAGGAAAAAAUGGACUUUAUCCGAAACCUCCUUGGCAAGGGGCUAGUUAUGGGUCACUCAAAAUGACCUGUGAUUACUAUGCCAGUGAAUAAAAUGUCACAAGUAAUUCUGGAAAGGCUAAAGAAAAAACUAAUUGAAAGGCCCAAUCAGUAUGGAUUACAAGAAACUGCAUCUGUUUCUAAUAUAAUAUGAACACUCCACUUUAUAUUAUAUUGCACACAACAAGAUACAGACUCUGAAGUACAUUGACCUAUUUCUAGUAUUACAUAUGACACCACCCUUUGGAAGGAGGGCACCAUGCAUUUUGACCAAUAAUGAGUACUAUUGAGAUUUAAAUCUGAAUUACAAUUGCCCUGGCAGUUCAAGAAUGAAAUAGUGAGAACUGGUCUAAACCGUUUGUACACACUGCCAAGGUAUCAAGAUUGUUCAUCCUUUCCCAUUCUGUACAUUUAUUUAAUUGUGCAACUUUCUUCUUCUUCACACAUCUGAGAUAUUUAGACAUUCCAUAAGUGUCAAUUCCAUUCAGUUGCAAUGAAAUUCCCUAACAGGAUACAAUUGUUCAUAACUUUAGGAACUGUA